rnacentral:antisense_RNA from 1 species
CAGGCGCCCACAGCCUGCAAAGCGUCUCCAGUGCCGCCGCCUCAGUGAACCGCAACCAGCGGCACCUAGCAGCUUUCUCCGCCACCCUCUUCAGGCAGGAAGCCCGCCUGACCCCACGUCUCAGGCUGCCAGAGGAGCGUGCGAUGAGGAAGGCUGGACUGUCUUCACAGGACACCAGAGAGAAGCCUCAAGCCACUGCCCCCUGACAAGUCUCAGCUCUCCAGCCUGUCUCCUCACUCCCCUCCCCUCCACAUGGGGGGGUUGGGGUGGGGGCGGGGAAGGUUCGGGGCAGGGGUCAUUUCAGCUACUGGGCACCAGUCUCCUCCUCAUGUUUAUCCUGUUCCCUUUGCUUGAAAGGUUCGUACUCCAGAUCCUUGUAAAACCGCUUCUCACCCUUUGAGUCUCAGCUUAAAUGUCCCCUCCUUGGAGGGGUCUUCCCUGACAAUGAAGCUCCGACCGUC